rnacentral:rRNA from 1 species
GAUGAACGCUGGCGGCGUGCCUAAUACAUGCAAGUCGAGCGAACAGACGAGGAGCUUGCUCCUCUGACGUUAGCGGCGGACGGGUGAGUAACACGUGGAUAACCUACCUAUAAGACUGGGAUAACUUCGGGAAACCGGAGCUAAUGCCGGAUAAUAUAUUGAACCGCAUGGUUCAAUAGUGAAAGGCGGUUUUGCUGUCACUUAUAGAUGGAUCCGCGCCGCAUUAGCUAGUUGGUAAGGUAACGGCUUACCAAGGCAACGAUGCGUAGCCGACCUGAGAGGGUGAUCGGCCACACUGGAACUGAGACACGGUCCAGACUCCUACGGGAGGCAGCAGUAGGGAAUCUUCCGCAAUGGGCGAAAGCUUGACGGAGCAACGCCGCGUGAGUGAUGAAGGUCUUCGGAUCGUAAAACUCUGUUAUUAGGGAAGAACAAAUGUGUAAGUAACUAUGCACGUCUUGACGGUACCUAAUCAGAAAGCCACGGCUAACUACGUG